CCUACGGGUGGCAGCAGUGAGGAAUAUUGGUCAAUGGACGGAAGUCUGAACCAGCCAAGCCGCGUGCAGGAAGACGGCCCUAUGAGUUGUAAACUGCUUUUGUACAAGGGUAAACCUGAAUACGUGUAUUCAGCUGAAAGUACUGUACGAAUAAGGAUCGGCUAACUCCGUGCCAGCAGCCGCGGUAAUACGGAGGAUCCGAGCGUUAUCCGGAUUUAUUGGGUUUAAAGGGUGCGUAGGCGGAUUGUUAAGUUAGUGGUGAAAGGUCCGAGCUUAACUCGGGAACUGCAGUUAAUACUGGUGAUCUAGAGAGUAGAUGAGGUAGGCGGAAUGUAUGGUGUAGCGGUGAAAUGCUUAGAGAUCAUGCAGAACACCGAUUGCGAAGGCAGCUUACCAAUCUAUAUCUGACGUUGAGGCACGAAAGCGUGGGGAGCAAACAGGAUUAGAUACACCAGUAGUC
rnacentral:rRNA from 1 species